rnacentral:lncRNA from 1 species
AUGGUGCCUAUGCCUCAGUGCUGCAGUGUGGCUUCUCUGCUGGUUGCCUCUGAUGUUGUAGUUUCUAUGUGCUGCAGAUCAGUUGAGGAAAGUGGAAGCUCAUUGUCUGAACUGCAGGGACAAACUGAAACUGAACGACUUCUCAAUCCAGAUGCUGCAGGAAGUCUUGCCUGUGAAGAUGCAGCUGACAAGAGUCCUAAUUCAAGCCCUAAUCAGUGAUUUAUGGAUGCAAGAGGAAGAGGCUUUCCCUACCACUGAAGCUAGAGGUGCAGUGAUCUACUCUUUUCCUUCUCUGUAGAAGACAGAGGUUGGCAGGUGAGGCUAUCUGUCCCAUCCUGUCCAUGAAGAUAUGGCUGCCAGAAAACUUAGUCUCAGCUUUAGUCAGUAGCUCUUAAACUAAAUAGAGGUAGUAGUGGUUUGGUUGGAUUCUUACUGGAAAGGACAAUUCUAAGAGUCAUUACAGGAAACUCUGUUAGCUGUGCAUUGACACUUACCACUGCCAGAGGCCUGUGGUGAAUGUGAACGAGGUCCAGAAGCCAACAGCACAAGCACUGAAACUUAUAGGGAGGAAUAGGGAAGAGGAGAGAAGAAAAAUAAUCCAGGGGGCAGAAGGAGAGGUCCCACUCAGGGACUUAGGUAAUACCCUGUUGGAUAGAAAAGCUGAUGUCUGGGCAUUAGCUGAGAGUGGGAGACCACCAUUCAUUCAAGGGAUUGGCAGUGAUUGUUUCACUGUCUAGGGGUUUGAGUGGAGUUUUUAUAGAGUUCUUCAAGAAUGUUGCCCUUCCCUGCCAC